UAGGGAAUCUUCGGCAAUGGGGGCAACCCUGACCGAGCAACGCCGCGUGAGUGAAGAAGGUUUUCGGAUUGUAAAGCUCUGUUGUAAGAGAAGAACGUGUGUGAGAGUGGAAAGUUCACACAGUGACGGUAACUUACCAGAAAGGGACGGCUAACUACGUGCCAGCAGCCGCGGUAAUACGUAGGUCCCGAGCGUUGUCCGGAUUUAUUGGGCGUAAAGCGAGCGCAGGCGGUUUAAUAAGUCUGAAGUUAAAGGCAGUGGCUUAACCAUUGUUCGCUUUGGAAACUGUUAAACUUGAGUGCAGAAGGGGAGAGUGGAAUUCCAUGUGUAGCGGUGAAAUGCGUAGAUAUAUGGAGGAACACCGGUGGCGAAAGCGGCUCUCUGGUCUGUAACUGACGCUGAGGCUCGAAAGCGUGGGGAGCAAACAGG
rnacentral:rRNA from 1 species